GAUGAACGCUGGCGGCGUGCCUAACACAUGCAAGUCGAGCGAUUCUCUUCGGAGAAGAGCGGCGGACGGGUGAGUAACGCGUGGGUAACCUGCCCUGUACACACGGAUAACAUACCGAAAGGUAUGCUAAUACGAGAUAAUAUGCUUUUAUCGCAUGGUAGAAGUAUCAAAGCUCCGGCGGUACAGGAUGGACCCGCGUCUGAUUAGCUAGUUGGUAAGGUAACGGCUUACCAAGGCGACGAUCAGUAGCCGACCUGAGAGGGUGAUCGGCCACAUUGAAACUGAGACACGGUCCAAACUGCAAGGGGAGGAAGCAGUGGGGAAUAUUGCACAAGGGGCGAAAGCCUGAUGCAGAAACCCCGCGUGAGAGAUGAAGGCCUUCGGGUGGUAAGGCUCUGGCCUCAAGAAAGUCAAUGACGGUACUUGGGGAGGAAGCCCCAGCAAACUACGUGCCAGCAGCCGCCGUAA
rnacentral:rRNA from 1 species